GACGAACGCUGGCGGCGUGCCUAAUACAUGCAAGUCGAACGCAGUGGGGACGGGUGAGUAACACGUGGGUAACAUCCCAUCAGAGGGGAUAACACUUGGAAACAGGUGCUAAACCGAAACGGAUGGAUGGACCCGCGGUGAAUUAGCUAGUUGGUGAGGUAACGGCUCACCAAGGCCACGAUGAAUAGCUGACCUGAGAGGAUGAUCAGCCACACUGGAACUGAGACACGGUCCAGACUCCUACGGGAGGCAGCAGUGGGGAAUAUUGGACAAUGGGCGAAAGCCUGAUCCAGCCAUGCCGCGUGUGUGAAGAAGGUCUUCGGAUUGUAAAGCACUUUAAGUUGGGAGGCGUUACCCGCAGAAGAAGCACCGGCUAACUCCGUGCCAGCAGCCGCGGUAAUAC
rnacentral:rRNA from 1 species